rnacentral:rRNA from 1 species
CCGUAGGUUGAACCUGCGGAGGGAUCAUUACCGAGUUUACAACUCCCAAACCCCUGUGAACAUACCACUUGUUGCCUCGGCGGAUCAGCCCGCUCCCGGUAAAACGGGACGGCCCGCCAGAGGACCCCUAAACUCUGUUUCUAUAUGUAACUUCUGAGUAAAACCAUAAAUAAAUCAAAACUUUCAACAACGGAUCUCUUGGUUCUGGCAUCGAUGAAGAACGCAGCAAAAUGCGAUAAGUAAUGUGAAUUGCAGAAUUCAGUGAAUCAUCGAAUCUUUGAACGCACAUUGCGCCCGCCAGUAUUCUGGCGGGCAUGCCUGUUCGAGCGUCAUUUCAACCCUCAAGCACAGCUUGGUGUUGGGACUCGCGUUAAUUCGCGUUCCUCAAAUUGAUUGGCGGUCACGUCGAGCUUCCAUAGCGUAGUAGUAAAACCCUCGUUACUGGUAAUCGUCGCGGCCACGCCGUUAAACCCCAACUUCUGAAUGUUGACCUCGGAUCAGGUAGGAAUACCCGCUGAACUUAAGCAUAUCAUAGGCGGGAAAGGAAA